UACGAAGGGGGCUAGCGUUGCUCGGAAUCACUGGGCGUAAAGCGCACGUAGGCGGCUUCUUAAGUCAGGGGUGAAAUCCUGGAGCUCAACUCCAGAACUGCCUUUGAUACUGAAGAUCUUGAGUUCGGGAGAGGUGAGUGGAACUGCGAGUGUAGAGGUGAAAUUCGUAGAUAUUGGGAAGAACACCGGUGGCGAAGGCGGCCAACUGGACCAUUUCUGACGCUGAGGCGCGAAAGCGUGGGGAGCAAACAGG
rnacentral:rRNA from 1 species